GACGAACGCUGGCGGCGUGCCUAAUACAUGCAAGUAGAACGCUGAAGAGAGGAGCUUACUCUUCUUGGAUGAGUUGCGAACGGGUGAGUAACGCGUAGGUAACCUGCCUUGUAGCGGGGGAUAACUAUUGGAAACGAUAGCUAAUACCGCAUAACAAUGGAUGACACAUGUCAUUUAUUUGAAAGGGGCAAUUGCUCCACUACAAGAUGGACCUGCGUUGUAUUAGCUAGUAGGUGAGGUAAUGGCUCACCUAGGCGACGAUACAUAGCCGACCUGAGAGGGUGAUCGGCCACACUGGGACUGAGACACGGCCCAGACUCCUACGGGAGGCAGCAGUAGGGAAUCUUCGGCAAUGGGGGCAACCCUGACCGAGCAACGCCGCGUGAGUGAAGAAGGGUGUCGGAUCGUAAAGCUCGGUUGUAAGUCAAGAACGGGUGUGAGAGUGGAAAGUUCACACUGUGACGGUAGCUUACCAGAAAGGGACGGCUAACUACGUG
rnacentral:rRNA from 1 species